UGAAUAUUUAUUAAACAUACUGAGAACUCUUGUGCCAAAUGUUGUGAUAAGCACCUUAUGUCAUGAUAAUUAAUCACCACAACAUUACCAUUAUCAUACUAAGAAUUAGCACAGUUUUACUGAUAGAGGAAAAACUGUGGCUUUUAGAAGUCUAGCUCAUGACCAGGCUCAUAUGGCAAAUAUAUGGGAGUAUUAGGAUUUGAAUUCAGGACUCUCUUAAAGCACAUACUGUUAACCACAGUACUUACUGGUUCCCAAAUUAAAGGGUGUGAACAUGAAUAAAAGAAAGCAAUAAAAGCAAAUAAAGCAUACAAAUAAAUAUGUAUCUGUUUAUGUGGCCCAGAUGUCCCCAAGCCUGGCAUCACAAAACAAGGUCAUAUUUUCAUUUCAGAAGGGAGGAGGACUCCACUCCCAUCUUAUGCCACCCUGCUUGCUCUGGCCUAAGAGGAGGGACUGUACACGUAUUAGUGGGUGGGAUCACUAUGUGCUAAAAUGUUCAUUGUGGUUCCUGAAUCCAUAAGGACAAUGCCAGACAUCUGGUCUUCUCUGCCUCCACUUACACCCAGCUGCAGCCUGCUCCUUGCUUCUCUAUGGAGGGUGACUCAUGAUGAGACUCCAACCAGCAAGACUUCUCACUUAAUGGAAAAAUUAGAAAAAAUGGGAUGCCUGCACAACGUCUUGGAUAAAUGUAAAUAA
rnacentral:lncRNA from 12 species